rnacentral:sRNA from 1 species
CUGAGUACUAUAUAAUUUACAAUCUUAAGAAAUUAUCAAGUUGGAACCAAGAAAUAGCAAGGAAAUGUACAAUUUUAUCUUCUGGCAAAGGGACAUCAUUCCUGUAUUAUAGUUCCAUGUGAAAUCUUCAUGGAAAAUGACAAGCAGUGGAUCACAUAUGUGUUUAUAGCAGACACAGGAGCUGGCUGUCUAGAAAUUGGCAGACGACAGAACUGCCCAAAGGCAGAGAAAAGAUAAUUGGCUGGUUAAGAAUUUCAUGACAAGGCUAUGAAUUUCCUAGACACCACUAGAAUAGAGGUGGAACAUUUGAAGAAAAUGUAAGCUGUUGAAGUGUGCUUAGAAAACUUGAAUGCUUGGUCAGAGUUAUCCAUCACAUGUUCAGUAAGAAGAACAAAGCAGUACACACAAUUGAGUAUUUCUGACAGGAAAAGUGUCCAGAAGUCACAAAUUGAUACUUGAUACAGCAGAAAAACACUGCAUAUUAGAAACAUCAGCUUUUCUGCACUCAACCUAAAGUCCUUUGGAACCCAUCGAAAGGUCAAUGUUAUUACCUUGCUCAUUUUUGAAGGACUUUUACAAGUAUUUUGAGAAGUAUCUGGGGAUGGACAUUCAUUUGUAGUUGUGGGUUCUGGAUUUUCAGGAUCAGGGUCUAUAAAGCAGAAGAAACCUAUAGUAAGUAUAAAAUUAUACAAUAAACACUGUUUUAACACCACAAA